GGAAAGGCGCGCGAUACAGGGUGACAGCCCCGUACACAAAAAUGCACAUGCUGUGAGCUCGAUGAGUAGGGCGGGACACGUGGUAUCCUGUCUGAAUAUGGGGGGACCAUCCUCCAAGGCUAAAUACUCCUGACUGACCGAUAGUGAACCAGUACCGUGAGGGAAAGGCGAAAAGAACCCCGGCGAGGGGAGUGAAAAAGAACCUGAAACCGUGUACGUACAAGCAGUGGGAGCACGCUUAGGCGUGUGACUGCGUACCUUUUGUAUAAUGGGUCAGCGACUUAUAUUCUGUAGCAAGGUUAACCGAAUAGGGGAGCCGAAGGGAAACCGAGUCUUAACUGGGCGUUAAGUUGCAGGGUAUAGACCCGAAACCCGGUGAUCUAGCCAUGGGCAGGUUGAAGGUUGGGUAACACUAACUGGAGGACCGAACCGACUAAUGUUGAAAAAUUAGCGGAUGACUUGUGGCUGGGGGUGAAAGGCCAAUCAAACCGGGAGAUAGCUGGUUCUCCCCGAAAGCUAUUUAGGUAGCGCCUCGUGAAUUCAUCUCCGGGGGUAGAGCACUGUUUCGGCAAGGGGGUCAUCCCGACUUACCAACCCGAUGCAAACUGCGAAUACCGGAGAAUGUUAUCACGGGAGACACACGGCGGGUGCUAACGUCCGUCGUGAAGAGGGAAACAACCCAGACCGCCAGCUAAGGUCCCAAAGUCAUGGUUAAGUGGGAAACGAUGUGGGAAGGCCCAGACAGCCAGGAUGUUGGCUUAGAAGCAGCCAUCAUUUAAAGAAAGCGUAAUAGCUCACUGGUCGAGUCGGCCUGCGCGGAAGAUGUAACGGGGCUAAACCAUGCACCGAAGCUGCGGCAGCGACACUAUGUGUUGUUGGGUAGGGGAGCGUUCUGUAAGCCUGUGAAGGUGUGCUGUGAGG
rnacentral:rRNA from 1 species